rnacentral:rRNA from 1 species
CAGCAGCCACGGGAAUACGAAGGGUGCAAGCGUUACUCGGAAUUACUGGGCGUAAAGCGCACGCAGGCGGUCUGACAAGUCAGAUGUGAAAUCCCCGGGCUUAACCUGGGAACUGCAUUUGAAACUGUCAGGCUGGAGUCUUGUAGAGGGGGGUAGAAUUCCAGGUGUAGCGGUGAAAUGCGUAGAGAUCUGGAGGAAUACCGGUGGCGAAGGCGGCCCCCUGGACAAAGACUGACGCUCAGGUGCGAAAGCGUGGGGAGCAAACAGGAUUAGAUACCCCGGUAGUCCCUGUCUCUUAUAA